rnacentral:tRNA from 1 species
GAAGAGACACCUGUGAAAAUCAAGUUAUUCCGA